ACUUUUAAUGAACUGACACCAGAGGAAGCCGCUCAAUACCUGGAAGCCGCUCAACGACAUUCAUCAAGGGGAUCUAUCCCUGUAAUGGUUGAAGAACCUAAUAUCAUACCUACACCGGAUGAUGAAAGUGAAGAUGGAAGUGAAGAAGAGAAUGAAAGAAAUAGCGUGGAGAGUGAAAGAGAAAUCGAAGAAGAGAGUGAGCAAAGUGAUAUAAGAGGAAGUGAAGAAGAGAAUGAAGGAAAUAGCGAGAAGAGUGAAAGAGAGAGUGAAGAAGAGAAUGAAGGAAAUAGCGAGAAGAGUGAAAGAGAGAGUGAAGAAGAGAGUGAGCCAAGUACCCCACCCACACGAAGUCGUCGGCGUUGUCGUCGCGCGAUAGGAACGCCUUCUCGAGGACGUCGUUGGGAGGAACGUCGUCGAGCCCAUAAUCAUUCAGCCGAGAGGCAAUCUUUGUCAAGGAGUCAAAGCGACGAAUCAAACGCAGAUAUUACCAAGAGUGAUCUAUCAUUAGGCGAAGAAACACUCGCUCCUGUGACUGAGGGGUCUUCUCAGCAACGUAAACGUCAGCGGGCUACACACAUGGGCUGGAAACUUGUAUUUAAAGCAUGAAAGAAGUUAAGUAAUAUACUUGUUGACCGCAAACAUGGAUACAAGUUUGGUGUCUGGAAGGUGCUGAGUAAUGGUAUUCUUUAUCGGUGUAAUCAUCGACCACAGCAGAAUCCUUGCAAAUGCACAGUUUUGCAAUCAGGCAAUGCAAUCAUCCAGCGAGUAGUGUGCAUUACUUCCUGCCCAAAACAAGAAAAUAUAUAUGAGUCGCUAGUCAUUUACAGGGACGCUAAGCGUGAAGGAUUGAAAAAUAAGGGGAAAUUUGCUAAGGCCAUUACCGACCCCAUCAUCGCUAAGCACUUUGCAUCAAAUAGGAGAAUGAAACUUGUGAAUAGAACACAAGUCUGUAAAUCAGUCAACAUGGCUAGAGCGAAGACUCGUCCAAAAAAUCCAAAAACACUGGAUUUUUCAUUUGAGGACGAUGGAAUUCCGGAUGGGCUAAACCUUCAUGACGUAGUAACCGCUAAGCGCAGACACAAACUUACUAGAGCAUAUCGUACAGACAUGCUAAUUCGUGGGAUUUGCAAGAAAAUGAUGUCUCUCCAUCUCCUCCCACAUGGAAAAAUCCCUACUGCCUUUGCAAAUUUAAGAUCAGCUGUCUGGGAAAUUGAAAACAGGGAUAACCGAACUAUGAUGCGAAAACUGUACAACUACAUGACAAAUACCUGGAUCGACAGCUUGCUUUGGCCUCCUAAAGUUUGGUCGGUCUUCAUGCAAAAGGUGAGAACCACUAAUGACGUUGAAGGCUGGCACACACAUCUAGCAAAUCACGCUGGACUUAGCAUUAGCAGUAAAGGCCUCAACCUGUAUAUUCUCCUCGAAGUUCUCUACGAGGAGGCUAUACAGGUUGAUAUAUACACAAAGAUGCUUGAACAGGGUCAACAACUGAGAAGACAGCGAAAAACUUUCAAAGAAUUAAAUUUAAAACUGUUUGGUUUGUGGAACGACUAUUCCAAACAAAAGAUAACGACCGCAGAACUUUUAGAACAAUGUGCAGAUAUUUACAAAAGUUCAACGCAAUUAAAUAUGCAAAAACGGAGAACGAUGCUCGUCUCUUUCAGUUAGAGACAGAAUAGAAAUUAAGUGUAUGAACAAAAUUGUAUUGGAUGGCUUAAAAAAAAGAAAUACAAAGAGAACACUGUGUUCACCAAAAAAUA